AUCUGAAAAAGGCAAACUUCUCCGAAAGGAAAGGACGCAAAGCCGUGGGCCUAAACGCUGGAAAGCGUAUGGUUGUCAGGCUGCCAGG
rnacentral:ncRNA from 1 species